UCUAGCAUGUGCGCGAGUCAUUGAGAUACUUUUACGAAAGCUUAAAGGCGCAAUGAAAGUGAAGGUCGGCCUUACGGUACGACCGAGGGAGGAUGGCUCGCGCCACGGCGCGAGUCCGCACUCCCGGGGCGUCUCGCGCUCAUUGCGAGCGGAGGCGCACCCAGAGCGUACACGCUGGGACCCGAAAGAUGGUGAACUAUGCCUGGUCAGGACGAAGUCAGGGGAAACCCUGAUGGAGGUCCGUAGCGAUUCUGACGUGCAAAUCGAUCGUCGGAACUGGGUAUAGGGGCGAAAGACUAAUCGAACCAUCUAGUAGCUGGUUCCCUCCGAAGUUUCCCUCAGGAUAGCUGGCACUCGCUUGAGCGAGUCUCAUCUGGUAAAGCGAAUGAUUAGAGGCCUUGGGGCCGAAACGACCUCAACCUAUUCUCAAACUUUAAAUGGGUGAGAUCUCUGGCUUGCUUAAACUUGAAGCCACGAGAUAUCAUGAAUAUAUGGAUCAGAGUGCCNAGUGGGCCAAUUU
rnacentral:rRNA from 1 species